UUUUUUUUUUUUUUUUUUUUUUGGCAGAGGCCUUGCUGUGUUGCUCAGGCUGGUCUCAAACUCCUGAGAUCAAGUGAUCCUCCCUCCUGCCUUGGCCUUGCAAGGUCCCAAAGUGCUGGGAUUAUAGGCGCACUCAGCUUAAACUUCUUUGUUAAAAUGUGUGUGCUUUAGUAGAUUCCUUAUCCAUAUCCUUUGCCCGUUAUUUCCCUUCAGUGGUUGUCACCUUCUUAUUCCUUUUCAUUGUUCAGGAAUCACAUUUUUACAAAGGAUUUACAAACAUAUUUGACCAUACCUUACAGUUCCUUGGCUUUCAUACUUUAUUCCUAGCAGUCUUUUCUUACCUUUGAACCUCUUUGUUUCCAUCUUUUAAUGGCUUCUACUUUUUUCCUAGCCUUUAUGUAUUACCAGAAAUCUAUAAUGGGAGGUAGCACUGUGCAAUUUAUAACAUAUUCCCUUCUCCAGUUUAGGGUACCCCUUUUCUGUCGAGGAAAUACCUAGGGAAAAGAAGUUAGAACAGAAGGAGAUAGGCCUUUAUAGAAAAAUAAUUUCUUAUCAGAAAAUAAAUACACUUUUUUUUUGUUUUUGUUUUUGUUUUUGAGACGGAGUCUCGCUCUUUCGCCCAGGCCGAAGUGCAGUGGCGCGAUCACGGCUAACUGCAAGCUCCGCCUCUCCGGUUCACGCCAUUCUCCUGCCUCAGCCUCCCGAGUAGCUGGGACUACAGGCGCCCGCCACCGCGCCCGGCUAAUUUUUUUUUUUGUAUUUUUAGUAGAGAUGGGGUUUUACCGUGUUAGCCAGGAUGGUCUUGAUCUCCUGACCUCGUGAUCUGCCCGCCUCGGCCUCCCAAAGUGCUGGGAUUACAGGCGUGAGCCACCGCGCCCGGCCAGAAAUACACUUUAAUCACAGAGAACAGGUUAAUGAAAAUAAAUUGUGAUUUAUUGAAAACAAACAGGGUUGUAUUAUGCAUAAACUGGUAAGCCAGUGUUUAAACUUGACAAUAUAUUACAAACACUUUUAUGUUAUUAAUAUUCUAAUGUUAUUUCAGUGGCCAUAUAAUAUUGCAGUGUUAAAUAUGCCGUAAUUUAAUCAACCCCUAUUAUUUCUAAUUUUGCAUCAUUAUAAAUAAAACUGUUAGGAAUAUCCUUACAACUAAAUCUUUUUGCAUUCUAUGACUCUUUAGACAAUUCUAGAAACUCUUAGGAAAAUCCUAAAGAUGACUUUCUUAAAGCAUGAACAGUUAUAUAUAUAGUAUACAUUUAAUUUUUUUUCUGUUAGUUGGGUAUCCGAAGAUGGCAUCUUGUUUUAAUUUGUACUUUUUGAUUUUUAAAAAAAGUUGAAUAUUUUAAAAUGUGUUUAUUGGCCAUUCUCUUCUUUUUUUUAAUCCACAACCUUUGCCCAUUUUUCAUGUGAGGGAUUAUCUUUUUACUGCUUUUCCUCGUAAGCUCAGCUAUAGCAUUCAAUUUGUUACAUGUAAAUAUAUUAAAACUUCAUUUAAGUAUAAUGCUUAUUUUUGUUUUCAAUAUAUUAUUGUUUGUCAAUCUUUGUUUUGUUUACUGCCUUUGGUGAUAUGUUUUGGAAGUUUCCCCCACUCCGAGAUUUUAUAAAUAUUCACAUUUUCUUGUAAUAAUUUUGUGAUCUAAUUUUUUAAAAUAUUUAACUCUUUAACCCACAUGGGAUAUAUUUUCAUGUUGGUGCAAAGUAGGGAUAUAAUCUUAUGUUUUGUUUUCCUCAAAUGAUUGGCCAGCCAUCCAAAAGAGACGGCUAGUCUUCAUAUGAGAGGCAACUAUUUAUUAAUUUACUUUUACAAUUCAGUAAUACAAUGAAAUGAGUAUAUACCUCAUGUGUUUCAUUAGAAUAGAGUGCUUAAAUCUUUUUUUUUCCUUUAGGUGGCUUUUUUUUUAAUGGAAAUAGUGUUUCUCAUUCCUAAACAAUAUAGACUAGCAAUCUGGAGAUUACCCUUAACAUAUAUCAUUAUCUAAAGGUACGGUUUUCACCACCUUCUUAAUUAAAAUAUUUUUUGCUUCAUAGAUUUUCAAGCUUUAACUCUUCUAUCUAUCUCUGAAUCAUUUACUAUUCAUUUUUAAAGGUUAAAAAGGCAAUCUGUCUUUAGAACAGAUAUCCUGAUUUUAAAGUAAGUAUUUUAUCUUCAUCUGUUUUCGUUAUAUAACGAUUAAGCAUGGAACAUUGCAUUUCUUGAUUACUUGUUCAAAUACAUGCAUUAAUUUUUAUUGUCAUAAUUUAAAUCAUGAAAAUUAGGGGUAAUGCAGAUACUAUGAAUUUGUAUUUUAUUAUAAGAUUUAAACUGUUUUUUCUAUUUAUAAUAAAUGAUGAGUUUAAAAGAAGUUGGUUAGCUGUGCUUUUUUCCUAUUUGAAAUGUUUUUCUUCUGAGCUCACUGUAGUUGGUUUUUAAGCUUGUCAAACUUUAGAAUAUGAGUCUUACACAUAUGAUACACUAAGAGAUGGCUAUUGGUUUUAAAAAGUUCCGUUUUUCAUAUUCAUGCCUAUUCUUUAAUCACUGGAACCAAUACAUAAAGUCUUUCAUUCAUUUAACAAAUGUUUAUUACACAAUUAUUAUGUGCCAGGCACUGUUCUAGGCUCUGGGGAUACAGCAGUAAAUAAUAUAAUUUUUCUCUUUUGUAUUUUGUAAGAAAAAAUCCCAUUUGUUUUUAUACGUUAAGGAGAGUCUGCACUUUAGCCUCAUCACAAAUAGGAAGCCAUUGAAAAUUUCAAGCAAGAUUUGCCUUUUGGAUGGAUCAUCUCAGCUAAAGGAGUUGCUGCUGGACCACAUGACACCAGUCCCAUUCUUGAAGCAGAAUGUUCAAAGAGUGUGUACAAAAUGCAGAAGCCACCCAUUUCCAAGAAAAACGGCUAUGCUUCAACCAGCCUAAGUCUACUGCAAGCAAGGGCACCCAUAAGAGAUGGACCUUGAGGGAUUCAACCUAACUAACUAGGCCCCCUGCAUGUGAGCUCAUCACAUGGCUGCCCGGCAAGAUACUACAUUUUCCAGUCUUCCAUGAGGAUAGAUGUGGUCACGUGACUGAGUCUGGGCCAAUGGGAUGUGUGUAGAUGUGAUGUAUAUUUAUCUCCAUAAAGAUGAAGCUGGUUGCCCUGAAUAUUCUGUCCAUCAGUUGGGAAGUGGCAAUGAAUGGAACAAUGCCUUGGGCCCCAAGACGGAUCCUGAGUAUGGCAGAGCUGCCCACCAGCCUAGGUUCCUAUAUGUCAUCAUGGGACAGAGCUGCCUUGUAGACCCUGGACUGUUAUAUUAAUAUAAAAAAGAAAUAAACUUCUAUCUUAUAUAA